rnacentral:lncRNA from 1 species
AUGGGAGGGAACCUCGCCAAAAGUGAUUUAGACGCACUCCAAAAAUUAGAAUCCUUAGUGAAACAGCACCCAUCAAAAUUGCACAAAAAGGAUUUGGAAAAUGUGUUACUUUGGGCAAAGGAAAAUUACCCAUCUCUUAAAGAGGAAGAUUUAUUUCAGUCCUGUUUUUGGGUGGAUGCUAGCGUCAAAUUAUAUGAGUACGUGGCAUCCCACGAUCCAAAUGCAGGAGUGUUGUUUGCGGCUUCUAGAGCACUUUAUCAGGUUACAUAUGAUGCAAAAUAUUCGCAAUCUACUGCACAUCAAUCAUUGAAAAAUCCCCAAACACCUGAGAGUUUUUCCCUCGGGGAAGAAGGGCAGGAGUCUGCCGCCGCACAAAGUGGAUUUCUGGAGAAACCCCCCGAAACUCGUGACCCCGGGGCGACCCUGCCAAGGCUCGGGAAGCGGCUGCUCCCCCUGAGGAGAACCCGUCUGAAGGGGAGGGCAGGGCGGGAGAGGGGACGGGGCGGGAAGGAGAGAAUAAAGCGAUUGCGUCUCGGGAGGAGCCCGAAAGACAGCGGCUUCCACGGUUUAAAUUACUCAUCGGUAAAGAGGACGAAGAAGACGUAUCUUUUUUUGACUUUCUUACAUCUCUGUACAUCCCUGAGGUGGGAGAAGGGGGGCUGGAGGGGCCGCUCCAUUCCCUUCCCCUUUCUCCGCCCCAGCCCCAACUCUGGGAGGCGGCACAGGCGCCCGAGGCGUUCGUGGCAAAGUCUUCGGCCUCCGGCGGGCCGCCCUCAGCCUCGGGCGGCUGCCAGCCUCCGACAAAGACGCCACAGGGGCACGCCCCAGCGGGUCGCUGGGUCAGAACGGCCCCGGGGCCGGCCGGCGCCAUCCCAGUGCCGCCCAUGCCCGUCCCCGAGCCGGGAACAGCGGCCCUGGGGCCGGCCGGCACCAUCCCAGUGCCGCCCAUGCCCGUCCCUGAGCCGGGAACAGCGGCCCUGGGGCCGGCCGGCACCAUCCCAGUGCCGCCCAUGCCCGUCCCUGAGCCGGGAACAGCGGCGCGGGGAAGACCCGCGGGCACCGGGUGUGGUGUCACCACCCGCCCGCCUUGCCGGGCCGCGCAGGCUCAGUCCCAGCCAGGGUUGGCGCAUGCUCCCUGCGCACCCGCUAUUCACCCGCCCGCAGGCGCACGCACCGCGGUCUGACCCGCGCCCCGCGUUCCGGCAGCCCGCGUUCCCUCUGCCGCCGCGGCUGCGGGGCCGAUGCGGGCAAGCAGCACGCCGCUACAGCCGCCACCGCCGCCGCCCCAUGAGGAGACACUCGCAGCGCCACAUCUCGGCACAGCUCAGCUUUUCCAGCCACCCCGGGUGGCGGCAGCUGCUGCCGCGGCGGAAAGCGGCUCACGGCCGAUCCGUGGAACAACAACGCCGCCUUGUGGAACAAAGGCAACGUUGCAACAAGCGUUGCAAAGGCUGCAGGAAAACAAUGCAAGAUCAUUUUAAUCCAGGAUGUACAGAAUCGUCCGCGAUCAGUUGA